AAACCAACAGGGAUUGCCCUAGUAACGGCGAGUGAAGCGGCAACAGCUCAAAUUUGAAAUCUGGCUUCGGCCCGAGUUGUAAUUUGCAGAGGAAGCUUUAGGCGCGGCACCUCCUGAGUCCCCUGGAACGGGGCGCCACAGAGGGUGAGAGCCCCGUAUAGUUGGAUGCCUAGCCUGUGUAAAGCUCCUUCGACGAGUCGAGUAGUUUGGGAAUGCUGCUCAAAAUGGGAGGUAAAUUUCUUCUAAAGCUAAAUACCGGCCAGAGACCGAUAGCGCACAAGUAGAGUGAUCGAAAGAUGAAAAGCACUUUGAAAAGAGGGUUAAAUAGCACGUGAAAUUGUUGAAAGGGAAGCGCUUGUGACCAGACUUGCGCCGGGCUGAUCAUCCGGUGUUCUCACCGGUGCACUCUGCCCGGCUCAGGCCAGCAUCGGUUCUCGCGGGGGGAUAAAGGCCCUGGGAACGUAGCUCCUCCGGGAGUGUUAUAGCCCGGGGCGCAAUGCCCUCGCGGGGACCGAGGUUCGCGCUCUGCAAGGAUGCUGGCGUAAUGGUCAUCAGCGACCCGUCUUGAAACACGGACCAAGGAGUCAAGGUUUUGCGCGAGUGUUUGGGUGUAAAACCCGCACGCGUAAUGAAAGUGAACGUAGGUGAGAGCUUCGGCGCAUCAUCGACCGAUCCUGAUGUUCUCGGAUGGAUUUGAGUAGGAGCGUUAAGCCUUGGACCCGAAAGAUGGUGAACUAUGCUUGGAUAGGGUGAAGCCAGAGGAAACUCUGGUGGAGGCUCGCAGCGGUUCUGACGUGCAAAUCGAUCGUCAAAUCUGAGCAUGGGGGCGAAAGAC
rnacentral:rRNA from 1 species